rnacentral:lncRNA from 1 species
UGCGAAAUAAUUCAUCAAAAUUGAAUAACUGAAGGAAAAAUAGUAUAUAUAUGAUGUCGCUCGGCAUAUACAACUCAACAUCACAAGAUCCUACAAUACUAUCCCAAAAUUCGAAAACUUACGGGAACACAAGCUGAAAGAAAGAUAGUAAAUGCUCUAACUCCGAAAAUAUCUACAUCAACAGUAUGAUAGAAGGGCUAACACUACAAAUUAGAAUAAAGAGGGAGCCACAUCUUCGUUCUGCAAAUGCGGCAAAUAUACCUCGAAGUCUCCAAAAGCUCUCCCUGUCUCAUGGAUGAUAAGCAUGUGCAACGGUACCUGGAUCUGCACAUAAAAAAUAUGUGCAGAAAAGACAUGAUUACACCACAGCGGUACUCAGUAAAUGCCAAGCCUAACCUCGGUCGGGUAAUGACGAGGAAGGUUAGGGCCCUACUGAGGUUAAACAUAAUAUAAAGUUUCAACAAUACGAAAUAGAAAAUAUAAAUGAGUACAACAAUGAAAUAAGACAGGUUAUACAAGGCAACAACGAAUAUACAAAGAACAGAGUAAACACUGAAAUAAGAACAGCUCAGUACAAAUAGUAACAACGAGGAUCUCCAAGGAUACCGUCUUGUAGUCCCUUUUAUCAACGGUCCAGUGGAUCUCCCGGGAUACCAUCCCGUAGUCCAAUUAUCACUGUGUGGGGAUCUACCGGAAUCCCGAUCCAUAGUUCCAAAUGUAAAUACUUAGUACUGGGGGAAUCUACCGGGUGCAUUCCCAUAGUUUCAUAUAACUGUACGGGGAGAUCUACCAGGAAUUUAACCCAUAGUCCCAAAGUAAACAAACAAGGGGGAAGCUACCGGAAUCCCGCAUCCGUAUUCCCAAUGUAAAUACGUAGCAACAACAAGAAGAUAUUAAGAAAUGAAAUUUCAUAUCAAGGAAACAAGUAAUUCUACCCUAACAUGCUUCACGUAGUGCAAUCAAGGUAAUUUAAGUCAACUAAACAAGCUUUUCUAACUAACAACAUGUUAAAUUUGCAAGUAUAAUAAAGCAUGAAAGGAAACAUGCUAAUAAAUACUUUAAGAAAACUAGAUUUCCAAUAAUUUUCACAAGUACGCGCUCGUCACCUCACGCACAAGGCAAUGCAAUUACCAAACGUACCAAUCCUAAAGGGCGGUCUAUACACAAGGUUAGACAAGCCACUUACCUCGAACCGGCUCAAAAUUAAUUAGAAAUCACGUUCUUACCAAGAGUAUCUAACUUCAAAUGGCCCAAAUCGAUUCAAUUCUAUUUCAUAAUAUAAAUAUACUUAAUGAAGCUGAUUCUACAAUUAAAUUCUACGCUAAUAUGCAAAAUUAUGUAAAAUGACCAAAAUUUCCCUCGGGCCCACGUCUUGGAAUCGGGCAUAGAAAUCUCAUACUCUCACGAGUCCAACCAUACUAAAAUUAUCCAAAUCCGAUGUCAAAUGCCCAAUCAAAACUCAAUUUCUAGGUCUAAAAACUUUUUCCCCAAUUUUUACCAAAAUUUCGAAAUUAAAGGAUGAAUUUAAGUGAAGAUUCAUGAAAAUUAGUCUAAAUCGAGUAAGAAUCACUUACCCAUAUCGCCAGAACUGUCACACCUCUUUUUUCCGCUAUACACCCCCGCAAAGGGGCGUAAAGGAGUUUUUCCACUUAAAGGACAACUGAAACGAGAUUUGUUUAUUAAAUAUUCAGAGUCGCCACUUGGGAGAUUAAUGGUGUCCCAAGUCACCGAUUAAAUCCCGAACCGAGGAAAAAGAUGACUCUGUUCACAGUCUGCGAACCAAAAAUCCGGAUAAGAAAUUCUGUUAACCCGGGAGAAGGUGUUAGGCAUUCCCGAGUUCCGUGGUUCUAGCACGAUCGCUCAACUGUUGCAUUUAGCUUUUGUCUGAUUUUAUUACAUGAAGAGCCUAUGUGCCAAUUUUAUGCUUAACCGCGUUUAUUUAAUAUGAUAUUUAUUUGAGAAAGUGAACGUCGUUUAAAGUGUGUUUUCGGAUUGCGCCGCGUCAAAUGAACCCGCAAUCCUAGGCACACUCUAUUCAAUGUUUUAGGAUUUAGAUUUGCGCCGCAUAAAAUGCUCAUCCGUAUUUAGGAAUGUAAUUUAUUAAAGUCGCGCCUAAUAGGGUCUAACGCGUUGUAAUCUUUUGGGAGGGUCGUUAAAUUCGUUAAACGAUCCUUCCCGAUUUUCUAAAUAUUUUUAAUCCUUUAUUGAGGGCCCCGCAAUUUUUAUUUUUGGGCGAGGCUCGUCUCAUUUUAUUUUAAAGGAUAAGCCUAAAAGCGACUAAAUUCUCUAUUUUUGUUUUUUUCUCUACAAAAAAAGACAAAUCCUUAAACGACCCUUCCCGAGUUUCGAAAUAUUUAAACUUUUACUGAGGGCCCCGCAAUUGAGAUUUUGUUAGGCUUGGCACACCUCAAUUCUAAUUUAGGAUUGUACUCAACUAAAGUAAACUAAGUAUGUUCGUAUAAUUAGACAAUUAAGAGCAGAAAAAUCUAGUCAUUUAGCUACAACCAAAUGCUUAAAUAAUACAUGACACACACAGAAGGAGUCCAAAUGCUUAAAUCAUCGUUCAAGGGAUAUUCAAGAGCUGUAUAUAUGACACACACAGAAGGAGUCCAAAUUCUUAAAUAUCAAAUAACAAAAAAAUUCAUAAUAUGAAGAACCCAAUAUCUGGGGAUUCAAGAUGAACAACCGCACAAUAAUGACUAAGAAACACAAAUAGUACCACCGAUAGAUCCAAUUACUCCAACCCAACACAAAUUAAUUAGCUAACUUUUUCUUUAAAGUUGCAAACUGCCGUGAAAAAGCUUUUACCCAAACUUUACUUCAAAGAAAAUCACUUUUGUUGAAAGUCAACCUCUUAGUAUUUUCUAACCAUUAAAGUGAAACAUGGAAAUUUAGUUUAAAAGAAGUGUCGUCACUGCCUUAUUCUAAGGACCAUUAACAGAAAUCACUACAAACCGAUAUCAAAGAAUGAUCCAUCACAACACACACACACAGUAAUAGCACAAACCAUAGGAACAGGGAAGAAGAAUGAACCAUCGAAGAACAAGCCUGCCAGACUCAUAUUCGAGCACGUAAGACAUGCUUCAACAAACUACUGCCCAAGCAUUUACUGGAUCAACAUCAAAUUAACGUGAUCAAAAUGAAAUAAGAAAAUGACUUUUUAAACCCUAUAAAUCUGCACUCUAGCCAAAAAUUUAACCAAACAAAUUGGUAUUCAAUAAUCACCCAACAAUAACCAUUAGCAGUUACACUCUCAGAAACAACAAAAAUCUAGGCAAGAGAUUAACCCAACAAUAAAAUAAAUGUGUAGCAGAAAUCCGGGCAGUGGAGAGAAGGGAAGAAGUACCAGUGAGUAUAUUUAAGUACGAGAGAGAAGAGAAAGACCUGCGAUCCUAGAGUUCGAGCUUGCCGGAAUUUCGACCGGUGAAGAAGAAGCAGUGGCGUAGGAAACGCAACUAUUCAGUCAUCAGUUCAAACGAAGCUAAUCGGGAUUAAUGGCAAUGAAGCAUAGAUGAACCAAAACUAACCAUCGACUGGCUGAACAAACGAAUCGACAAUUCAGAGCAUCAGAAAUGAAAGCUUCAUUCAACUGAAAUUUUCAGUAAUUACAGUCAGAAUGAAGUGUCAACCGACGAUAUUUCGAACCCGAACAAGACAUAAGCAGCGGCAAAAUGAACGGAUUUCCAGAGAUUCGGUGGAAUCUGGACAUAGAACUUUGAACCCGAACCUCGAGCGACGAUUCCACUUGACCUUUUCGUCUUCUCCCUCCUCUUCGGAUUUACCCCUUCUCAGAACCCCAUUUUCCGUGAUGAGAAUCGAUGGGGAGAGUCUUCAAUAAGACCACCAGGGGAAAGGGGGGGUGUCAGGUAAAAGCUGCGGCCUUAGUCUAGGGUAUAUAUAUAGGUAUAGGUUAUUUUUUGUAGG